AUACGUAGGGGGCGAGCGUUGUCCGGAAUGAUUGGGCGUAAAGGGCGCGUAGGCGGCCCGGUAAGUCUGGAGUGAAAGUCCUGUUUUUAAGAUGGGAAUUGCUUUGGAUACUGUCGGGCUUGAGUGCAGGAGAGGUAAGUGGAAUACCCAGUGUAGCGGUGAAAUGCGUAGAGAUUGGGAGGAACACCAGUGGCGAAGGCGACUUACUGGACUGUAACUGACGCUGAGGCGCGAAAGUGUGGGGAGCAAACAGGAUUAGAUACCCUGGUAGUCCACACUGUAAACGAUGAAUGCUAGGUGUAGGGGGUAUCGACCCCUUCUGUGCCGCAGUUAACACAAUAAGUAUUCCGCCUGGGGAGUACGGCCGCAAGGUUGAAACUCAAAUGAAUUGGCGGGG
rnacentral:rRNA from 1 species